AAUAUUGGACAAUGGGCGCAAGCCUGAUCCAGCCAUGCCGCGUGUGUGAAGAAGGCCUUCGGGUUGUAAAGCACUUUUGUCCGGGAAGAAAAGCCAGGGAUUAAUACCCCCGGGUUCUGACGGUACCGGAAGAAUAAGCACCGGCUAACUUCGUGCCAGCAGCCGCGGUAAUACGAAGGGUGCAAGCGUUGUCCGGAUUUACUGGGCGUAAAGAGCGCGCAGGCGGUCGGAUAAGUCGAAUGUGAAAGCCCCUGGCUCAACCAGGGAGGGUCAUUCGAUACAGUUCGACUCGAAGGCAGGAGAGGGAAGUGGAAUUCCGGGUGUAGUGGUGAAAUGCGUAGAUAUCCGGAGGAACACCAGUGGCGAAGGCGACUUUCUGGCCUGUUCUUGACGCUGAGGCGCGAAAGCUAGGGGAGCAAAC
rnacentral:rRNA from 1 species